GGGCGAAUACCAGAGUGGCCAAAUGGGGCAGACUGUAAAUCUGCUGGUUAAUACCUUCGGUGGUUCGAAUCCAUCUUCGCCCA
rnacentral:tRNA from 1 species